CUACGGGGGGCACCAGUGGGGAAUAUUGCACAAUGGGCGCAAGCCUGAUGCAGCCAUGCCGCGUGUAUGAAGAAGGCCUUCGGGUUGUAAAGUACUUUCAGCGGGGAGGAAGGGAGUAAAGUUAAUACCUUUGCUCAUUGACGUUACCCGCAGAAGAAGCACCGGCUAACUCCGUGCCAGCAGCCGCGGUAAUACGGAGGGUGCAAGCGUUAAUCGGAAUUACUGGGCGUAAAGCGCACGCAGGCGGUUUGUUAAGUCAGAUGUGAAAUCCCCGGGCUCAACCUGGGAACUGCCUCUGAUACUGGCAAGCUUGAGUCUCGUAGAGGGGGGUAGAACUCCAGGUGUAGCGGUGAAAUGCGUAGAGAUCUGGAGGAAUACCGGUGGCGAAGGCGGCCCCCUGGACGAAGACUGACGCUCAGGUGCGAAAGCGUGGGGAGCAAACAGGAUUAGAUACCCCGGUAGUC
rnacentral:rRNA from 1 species